CCUACGUGUGGCAGCAGUGGGGAAUAUUGGGCAAUGGGCGCAAGCCUGACCCAGCAACGCCGCGUGAAGGAAGAAGGCUUUCGGGUUGUAAACUUCUUUUCUCAGGGACGAAGCAAGUGACGGUACCUGCGGAAUAAGCCACGGCUAACUACGUGCCAGCAGCCGCGGUAAUCCGUAGGUGGCAAGCGUUAUCCGGAUUUACUGGGUGUAAAGGGCGUGUAGGCGGGGACGCAAGGCAGAUGUGAAAACCACGGGCUCAACCGGUGGCCUGCAUUUGAAACUGUGUUUCUUGAGUACUGGAGAGGCAGACGGAAGUCCUGGUGUAGCGGUGAAAUGCGUAGAUAUUAGGAGGAACACCAGUGGCGAAGGCGGUCUGCUGGACAGCAACUGACGCUGAGGCGCGAAAGCGUGGGGAGCAAACAGGAUUAGAUACCCGGGUAGUC
rnacentral:rRNA from 1 species